GCGCAGCAGGCGAGAAAACUUCACAAUGUGCGAAAGCACGAUGAGGGAAUCCCAAGUGCUUGCACGUAAGUGUAAGCUGUUUCUCUGUCUAAAACGCAGAGAGAGUAAGGGCUGGGUAAGACGGGUGCCAGCCGCCGCGGUAAUACCUGCAGCUCGAGUGGUGACCGUUAUUAUUGGGCCUAAAACGUCCGUAGCCGGUUUAAUAAAUGCCUGGGUAAAUCGGACCGCUUAACGGUUCGAAUUCCGGGUAGGCUGUUAAACUUGAGACCGGGAGAAGUUAGAGGUACUCCUGGGGUAGAGGUGAAAUUCUGUAAUCCUAGGGGGACCACCAGUGGCGAAGGCGUCUAACUAGAACGGGUCUGACGGUGAGGGACGAGGCCCUGGGGCGCAAACGGGGAUUAGAUACCCCUGUAGU
rnacentral:rRNA from 1 species